ACUCAAAGGAAUUGACGGGGGCCCGCACAAGCGGAGGAACAUGUGGUUUAAUUCGAUGAUACGCGAGGAACCUUACCCGGGCUUGAAAUGCAUCUGACCGGCCUAGAAACAGGCCUUCUAGCAAUAGCAGAUGUGUAGGUGCUGCAUGGUUGUCGUCAGCUCGUGCCGUGAGGUGUCGGCUUAAGUGCCAUAACGAGCGCAACCCACAUUGUUAGUUACUAACAGGUCAAGCUGAGGACUCUGACAAGACUGCCAGCGUAAGCUGUGAGGAAGGUGUGGAUGACGUCAAAUCAGCACGGCCCUUACGUCCGGGGCGACACACGUGUUACAAUGGAUGGUACAGAGGGUCGCUACCUAGUGAUAGGAUGCCAAUCUCGAAAGCCAUUCCCAGUUCGGAUUGGAGUCUGCAACUCGACUCCAUGAAGCUGGAUUCGCUAGUAAUCGCGCAUCAGCCAUGGCGCGGUGAAUACGUUCCCGGGCCUUGUACACACCGCCCGU
rnacentral:rRNA from 1 species